rnacentral:lncRNA from 1 species
GCUUUUAUCAUGCUUCAUGCAUCAUGAUCAUAUUAUAGGUUGUUUGCAUUAGCAUUCACGAUUAUGCCGCAUUGUAUUGUUGUGAUAGAUGAUAGUGGAUGGACAUUAGGAUGAUUCAUUAGCCUUCUAAAUACGAAGUCCUGUGGUGCCCAUAAUAGGGCCGGGCAAUACGAAGACCUGUGGUGCCCAUAAUAGGGCCGGGCAAUAACUCCGAGUACGAAGUCCUGUGGUGCCCAUAAUAGGGCCGGGCAAUACGAAGUCCUGUGGUGCCCAUAAUAGGGCCGGGCAUGGAGUUGAGGGAUUUUUGAAUCAGUCCAUCCGUGGUGUGAUUUGUUUGUGCAGUGACGCAUUUCAUGAUAGCAUGUUUUAAAUAUUCUUUUUUUUCAGUUCUACUCACUGGGCAUCUAGCUCACCCCUCUCCCCUAACCCCAGGUUUGCAGGUACGGGAUAGAUAGAGAAG